ensembl:lncRNA
AGAGAGACCCCAGGAAGGCACGAGAGACACAGAGAGAGAUCAGGAAGGCACAGAGAGACCCAGGAAGGCACAGAGAGACACAGAGACCCAGGAAGGCACAGAGAGACACAGAGACCCAGGAAGGCACAGAGAGACACAGAGAGAUCCAGGAAGGCACAGAGAGACACAUAGAGACCCAGGAAGGCACAGAGAGACACAGAGAGAUCCAGGAAGGCACAGAGAGACACAGAGAGAUCCAGGAAGGCACAGGGAGACACAUAGAGACCCAGGAAGGCAUAGAGAGACACAGAGAGACCCAGGCAGGCUUUAGAGACAGACAGAGAGAUCCAGGAAGGCACAGAGAGACAAUACAGACAGAGGCAGGCACAGACACACACACAGAGA